rnacentral:misc_RNA from 1 species
UUUCCGUAGGCGAACCAGCGGAAGGAUCAUUAUUGUAUAACCGAGGUGCGAGGGCUGUCGCUGACCCGAAAGGUCGUGCACGCCCGUGUGCCCUCACACGCAUCCAUCUCACCCCUAUGUGCACCACCGCGUGGGUCCCCCUUUGGCGUGUUCGGAGGGGGGCUUACGUUUUCACACAAACUUUGUAUGCAGUGUAGAAUGUAUUUUUUGUUUUUGCGAUCACGCAAUCAAUACAACUUUCAACAACGGAUCUCUUGGCUCUC